AUCUGGGAGGUGCUGGGUGGCCUGGGUAUUUUUAGAAGGCCAGAGGCAAACAUGCCUGGAAUCCUGGGUGUUGCUAAGCCAAAGAAGCUGGGAGGCCAGCAGAGGGUGAACCCGAAGAGGUGGCCUCGGCCCGGGUCCUAACUUCACCAAGGUGGCUAACAAAUUUUUCCAGCAACACAGAGCUGAGAGGAUUGGGAUCUCAGAGAAUAAGGAGCCCUGCAUUCUUGGCUUCAUCUGCCUGGAGUGGAGUUUCCAUCAUGCUGAGCUGGAGGUGCACGGGGCCAGGGAAGGAGCAAGUCGUAGCUCAAAUGUCCCAGACUCUUACUAUUCUUAUUAAAAUUUAGUAGGUUUUCUUGAAUAAAUGUUUCUUCAUCUGCUGUAUGCCCUUAGGACAAUUCCCAGGAACAUACAUCUAUAUUGAUAUCAAUAUAAAUAUAAAUAGAUAAUUAUGUAUGUAUAACUUUAGCAGUUUUACUUGUUCUGCUGGAAAGAAGGUCUGGAAGGUUUGCAGAGCUGCUCAUGCCACCAUUCCAGAAGUUAUCCACCAGUUCAUUGCUUUUUGCUCAGUAGUAUUCCAUUGCAUGUCUAUGCCACAAUUUGUUUAUCCAUUCACCUGUUGAUGGACAUUUGAGCUGUUUCCUGUUUGAGGCUAUUACAAAUAAAGCUGCUUUACAAAUAAAGCUGCUUUGAACAUUUGUGUAUAAGUCUUUGGACAUACGCUUUGAUUUAUCUUGAGUAAAUAUCUAGAAGUGGAGUGGCUGGGUUAUAUGGUAGGUUUGUGUUUUAAUUUUUAAGAAGCUGCUAAGAUGUCUUCCAAAGUGAUUCCCCCGUUAUGCACUCCUGCCAGCAGUGUGUGAGAGUUCCAGUUGCUCCAGAUUCUCACCAACACCUGGUAUCGUCAGUCUUUUUAAUGUUAGCCAUUCUAAUAGAUGUGUAGUGGUAUCUUAUUGUGGUUUUAAUUUUCAUUUUCCUAAUAGGUAAUGAUGUGUUUGAGCAUUUUUUCAUGUGCCUAUUUACUAUCCAUACACCUUCUUGGUGAAAUAUCUGUUCAAAUCUUUUGCCUCCUUUCUUUUUUCAUAAUUGGGUGGUUUGUUUUCUUAUUAUUGAGUUUUGAGAGUUCUUUCUAUAUUGCAGAUACAAAUUCUUCUUGGAUAUAUGUACUGCAAUAGUUUCUCCCAGUUAGUAGCAUGUCUUUUCAUUCUCCUAACGGUUUCUUUCAAAAGGCAAAUGUUCUUAAUUUUGAUGAAGUCCAAUUUACAAAUAUUUUUCCUCUAUAGAUCAUGUUUCUGGUAUUAUAUUUAUAAAAUCUUUGCCUAACUCGAGGUCAUGAAGAUUUUGUUUUAUUGUUUAGUGUUCUCUCCUUCCAAUUUUUGGUUCCCAUUGUGUGUAUGGUUUUAUAUCUUGCUUUUUUUCCCAAAAAAACUUUAAAAAAUUUAAAUCCAUGGAAAAAUCGAAAGAUUAGUAUCAUGAACAAUGGCAUACUUUUUGCCUACAAGCAUCAAUUGUUAAUAACUUGCUACAUUUGCUAUAUCUCCCUGGAUACCUUUUUCCAGGAACGUUUGACAAUAAGUUGCAGGAUUUUGUAACACUGACUUUUUGCAAGGUCUAGGAAACCCAUCCUGAAAAUGUUCUUUAAAAAACAUCAACAGCAGCCUGUGCCAUUUUCUGCGAUAACAAAGGUCGUACUUGCCCAGUGUAGAGGACUGGGAAAAAACAGAGCAGCAAAAGAAGAAAAUAAAACUGUUCCCUCCCCCUAUUCCAACCCCAUGAUACCAGGAAAGCCACUUACCUGAGAGGUGGGUAGGAAGGACACACAGAGCUCAGAUACCACCUGAAAUUUGGGGUGCAAAUCCCUGACUCCCAUGGCAGCCCCCUAUCCUGGGAUCACUUUCUGCAGAAGAGCCCUCUGCUGGGAAGCUGAGGCCAGGAUCUCCGCAGCCGACCUUGAGCCUGCUCCACCCUCUCUGGGCUUAGCUGCAAAUCACUCAUCUGUUGUGGGAGAGGCCUGUGCUGGAACUGCUGUACACUCCUAUCUCACUCAAGCCUCACGACAACCCUCAAGAGAGGUUAUCAGGGCCAUUUUGAAGAUGCAGCCAGCUGUAGAGUUGCCUUUUCCAAUGCAGCCUUCCCUCACUCCCACUGAGAGUAACUGCUCCUUUUCUGCACACCCUCAUGCCCCAGAAUCAAUGGCCUGACUCUUCUGCUUCUCCAACCAUACUCAGACAUCCUCCUCCAAGUGCCCAGGCCGUGGUCCUGCACAUGGAUCCUUAAUCAGCUUUGUUCAAUGUAUUUUAAUAUUUAUUUUAAUUUGCUUGCAUUAUCUUUCUUUCUAUUAAUAUUCAUUAUUUUUCUUUACCUUCUUUUAUAAUGUUGGUUUUUUAUCCCAUUGAUACAUGUCCAAAUUGUAAAAAAUUUAGGAAAGAAUAAAAAUCACCCCAAAUUGUUAUAGAUAAUCAUAUUAACAUUUUGGUAGAUUAUUAUUUUUUGAGUCUGGUUUCUGUAGAUGUAUGCAUUUUACAGAGUUGAGAUUACAUUGUAUGAAUAGUUCUAAAGACUGCUUUUAAAAAUCUAACAUUAUACCAUGGAUAUUUUCCCCAUGUCAUUAAAAAGUACAUGUGGCACACCCACUGGGAAGGCUCUGAUAAAGAAGACAGAUAAUAACAAAAUGUGGUGAAUCGGAACCUUCAUACAAUGCUGGUGGGAAUGUAACAUGGUACAGCCCCUUUGGAAAACAGUUUGGAGGUCCCUCAAAUAGGUAAGCAUAGGGUUACCAUAAGACCCAGAAAUUUCACUGCUAGGUAUAUAUUCAAGAGAAAUAAAAACAUGUGUCCACACACAAAACUUGUACAGAAUGUUCAUAGCAGCAUUAUUUAUAAUAGCUUAAAAAAUUGAAACAACAUAAAUGUCCACCAAUGAAUGAAUGGAUCAAUGAAAUGUGAUAUAUCCACACAAUGGAAUAUGAUUCAGUCACAAAAAGAAGGAAGUACUGAUACAUACUACAACAUAGAUGGACCUUAAAAACAUUAUGCUAAAUCAAAGAAGCCAGACGCAGAAGAUCACAUAUUGUAUGACUCCACUCAUACAAAAUAUCUAGAAUAGACAAAUCUAUAGAGACAGAAAGUAAAUGUAUAGGCUGGGGGGUGGGGAGGUCUGGGGAGAAAUGAAGAGUGUCAGCUAAUGGGCAUGGAGUUUUGUUAGGGGGAGAUGAAAAUGUUAUAAAAUUGACUGUGCUGGUUCAAAACUUUGUGUAUAUACUGAAAGCCAUUGAAUUGUAUACUUUAAAUGGGUGAAUUGUAUGAUAUAUAAAUUACAUAUCAAUAAAGCUGUCAUAAAUAAUUAAAAACAAAA